AUAUUGUACAAUGGGGGAAACCCUGCUGCAGCAACGCCGCGUGAUGGAUGAAGGUUUUCGGAUCGUAAACUUCUAUCAGUAGGGAUGAAAGAAAUGACAGUACCUAACUAUGAAUCCCCGGCUAACUACGUGCCAGCAGCCGCGGUAAUACGUAGGGGGCAAGCGUUAUCCGGAUUUACUGGGUGUAAAGGGUGCGUAGGUGGUAUGUUAAGUUAGAUGUGAAAGCCAAAGGCUUAACUUUGGGAUUGCAUCUAAAACUGGCAAGCUAGAGUGCAGGAGAGGAAAGUAGAAUUCCUAGUGUAGCGGUGAAAUGCGUAGAUAUUAGGAGGAAUACCAGUAGCGAAGGCGACUUUCUGGACUGUAACUGACACUGAGGCACGAAAGCGUGGGUAGCAAACA
rnacentral:rRNA from 1 species